UCGAGCGCAGGAAACCACGAUGACCCCUUCGGGGUGAUUCUGGUGGAAUGAGCGGCGGACGGGUGAGUAACACGUGGGCAACCUGCCUGUAAGACUGGGAUAACUUCGGGAAACCGGAGCUAAUACCGGAUAGUAUUUCCUUUCUCCUGAUUGGAAAUGGAAAGACGGUUUCGGCUGUCACUUACAGAUGGGCCCGCGGUGCAUUAGCUAGUUGGUGGGGUAAUGGCCCACCAAGGCGACGAUGCAUAGCCGACCUGAGAGGGUGAUCGGCCACACUGGGACUGAGACACGGCCCAGACUCCUACGGGAGGCAGCAGUAGGGAAUCUUCCGCAAUGGACGAAAGUCUGACGGAGCAACGCCGCGUGAGCGAUGAAGGCCUUCGGGUCGUAAAGCUCUGUUGUUAGGGAAGAACAAGUACGAGAGUAACUGCUCGUACCUUGACGGUACCUAACCAGAAAGCCCCGGCUAACUACGUGCCAGCAGCCGCGGUAAUACGUAGGGGGCAAGCGUUGUCCGGAAUUAUUGGGCGUAAAGGGCUCGUAGGCGGUUUCUUAAGUCUGAUGUGAAAGCCCACAGCUCAACUGUGGAGGGUCAUUGGAAACUGGGGAACUUGAGUGCAGAAGAGGAGAGUGGAAUUCCNCGUGUAGCGGUGAAAUGCGUAGAUAUGUGGAGGAACACCAGUGGCGAAGGCGACUCUCUGGUCUGUAACUGACGCUGAGGAGCGAAAGCGUGGGGAGCAAACAGGAUUAGAUACCCUGGUAGUCCACGCCGUAAACGAUGAGUGCUAGGUGUUAGGGGGUUUCCGCCCCUUAGUGCUGAAGUUAACGCAUUAAAGCACUCCGCCUGGGGGAGUACGGCCGCAAGGCUGAAACUCAAAAGAA
rnacentral:rRNA from 1 species